AUCCAUGGCCAAGCUACCCUGAACAAGCCCGAUCCUGUCUGAUCUUGGAAGCUAAGCAGGGUCGGGCCUGGUUAGUACUUGGAUGGGAGACCACCUAGGAAGACCAGGUGCUGUAGGUG
rnacentral:rRNA from 1 species